ACAGAGUUAGCCGGUGCUUCUUCUGAUGGUACCGUCAUUAUCUUCCCAUCUGAAAGUGCUUUACAACCCGCAGGCCUUCUUCACACACGCGGCAUUGCUGGAUUAGGCUUUCGCCCAUUGUCCAAUAUUCCCC
rnacentral:rRNA from 1 species